GUCUAUGUGGCAUAGUGAUUAUUGCGUUUAACUCCGUACUUUGAAAGGGCGCUGGUUCAAAUCCACCAAUGGGCG